GAUAAACGCUGGCGGCGUGCUUAACACAUGCAAGUCGAACGAAGUUUUUCUUUCGGGAGGAACUUAGUGGCGGACGGGUGAGUAACGCGUGGGUAACCUGCCCUGUACAGGGGGACAACAGCUGGAAACGGCUGCUAAUACCGCAUAAGCCCUUAGCACUGCAUGGUGCAUAGGGAAAAGGAGCAAUCCGGUACAGGAUGGACCCGCGUCUGAUUAGCCAGUUGGCAGGGUAACGGCCUACCAAAGCGACGAUCAGUAGCCGAUCUGAGAGGAUGUACGGCCACAUUGGGACUGAGACACGGCCCAGACUCCUACGGGAGGCAGCAGUGGGGAAAAUUGCACAAUGGAGGAAACUCUGAUGCAGCGACGCCGCGUGAGUGAAGAAGUAUUUCGGUAUGUAAAGCUCUAUCAGCAGGAAAGAAAAUGACGGUACCUGACGAAGAAGCACCGGCUAAAUACGUG
rnacentral:rRNA from 1 species